GUGGCAUUCUGAUUUGCUUAUUGCACCACAUGUGUUUUUUAUUGAACAAAUUUCUUUGGUGGCGGGAGCAAUCCUACCGCCAGAGGUUAUAACUAAACCAAACUUUUUAUUUACAGUCAAACUUGAUUUAUUAUUACAAUAGUCAAAACUUUCAACAACGGAUCUCUUGGUUCUCGCAUCGAUGAAGAACGCAGCGAAAUGCGAUACGUAAUAUGAAUUGCAGAUAUUCGUGAAUCAUCGAAUCUUUGAACGCACAUUGCGCCCUUUGGUAUUCCAAAGGGCAUGCCUGUUUGAGCGUCAUUUCUCCCUCAAACCCCCGGGUUUGGUGUUGAGCAAUACGCUAGGUUUGUUUGAAAGAAUUUAACGUGGAAACUUAUUUUAAGCGACUUAGGUUUAUCCAAAAACGCUUAUUUUGCUAGUGGCCACCACAAUUUAUUUCAUAACUUUGACCUCAAAUCAGGUAGGACUACCCGCUGAACUUAAGCAUAUCAAAAGGCGGGAGGAA
rnacentral:rRNA from 1 species